UGUUAAACUCAAAUCUUGUCGUCUUCCGACUGAAUUUGGGUAUAUUGUUAAUAGUUGAGAAGUUAUCCUUCAGCAGCAUGAAGCAGGAGAAUUGGGUAAUAUUGUGUUCGAAGAAAGGGAUUUUACACAUACCCCCCAAGAAAGUUUGUUAGAGGUAUACUUACUGCUGACUUUAAGAUAGCAUUGGCGCCAGCCGUGAUCAUCGGGGUAGUUGAARAAUCGCAGAUAAUAUGAAAAAGACACGACUGAUCAGGCCUCAGAAUUUGUGAGUAUAUCAAUUCUGAUCAACAAUCUUGAACUGGAUCAGUAAGAGUGACCUUUGGCUUCAAGAACUUUCCGAUGACUGAAGCAAAGUCGGAAAACAGCGGAUAUAGAAAUCAUGGUGAUCAUUCACUGAAGCACGUAAUGGACUCUAAAGUCAAAAGUUCGCCAAAGUAUUAACGUAAUCAACAGCUGCAGGGAAGAUCAACUACGACUGAUGUGAUGGAAGGAGUGAUUUUUGAAAGUUUUGUUACUAUAUUUAGAACACAACAACGGCAAAAUGCGGAUCGACCGCAGAAGGAUGGUUAUAGAGGAAAAGAGACUAGACAUGAUAGGGAUGGAUUGGGUAGAGGUACUGAACGCUAUCUCUUCAUGGUAUAACUGAACCUUAUUUAUCGAGAUUAGUAAGACCUUAUCAGACAAAUGCCAUGAAGUAGUUCAGGAAACAUCACCACCGGUUUUGCACACAGAUGGCGCCAACAUAUCCAUACAAGAGACUCGCCCUCCAG